GUGCUCACUUGAACAGCACAUGUACAACUGAAAUUGAAAUGAUACAGAGGUGAUCAUGGCCUCUGCGAAAGAUGAUAAGAAAGUUUGUGAAGCAUUCCAUAUUUUG
ensembl:snRNA U6 U6 spliceosomal RNA